UUCGCAAUGCCCGAAAGGGUGCCGAAGCGACGCCGCGUGCGGGAAGAAGGCCUUCGGGUUGUAAACCGCUGUCGGGAGUUAGGAAAUGCAAGGAUGUUAAUAGCAUUCUUGCUUGACUAAGGCUCCAGAGGAAGCCACGGCUAACUCUGUGCCAGCAGCCGCGGUAAUACAGAGGCGGCAAGCGUUGUUCGGAAUUAUUGGGCGUAAAGAGCACGUAGGCGGCCUUGCAAGUCAGUUGUGAAAGCCUUCCGCUUAACGGAAGAACGGCAUCUGAUACUACAGGGCUUGAGUACGGGAGGGGAGAGUGGAACUUCUGGUGGAGCGGUGAAAUGCGUAGAUAUCAGAAGGAACGCCGGCGGCGAAAGCGACUCUCUGGUCCGUAACUGACGCUGAGUGUGCGAAAGCUAGGGGAGCAAACGGGAUUAGAUACCCCGGUAGUCCUAGCCGUAAACGAUGGGCACUAAGUAGAGGGGUUUU
rnacentral:rRNA from 1 species